rnacentral:rRNA from 1 species
AUUGAACGCUGGCGGCAUGCUUUACACAUGCAAGUCGAACGGUAACAGGCCGCAAGGUGCUGACGAGUGGCGUACGGGUGAGUAAUGCAUCGGAACGUGCCCAGUCGUGGGGGAUAACUACUCGAAAGAGUAGCUAAUACCGCAUACGAUCUAUGGAUGAAAGCGGGGGACCGUAAGGCCUCGCGCGAUUGGAGCGGCCGAUGUCAGAUUAGGUAGUUGGUGGGGUAAAGGCUCACCAAGCCAACGAUCUGUAGCUGGUCUGAGAGGACAACCAGCCACACUGGGACUGAGACACGGCCCAGACUCCUACGGGAGGCAGCAGUGGGGAAUUUUGGACAAUGGGCGCAAGCCUGAUCCAGCAAUGCCGCGUGCAGGAAGAAGGCCUUCGGGUUGUAAACUGCUUUUGUACGGAACGAAACGGCUCUGGUUAAUACCCGGGGCUAAUGACGGUACCGUAAGAAUAAGCACCGGCUAACUACGUG